rnacentral:rRNA from 1 species
AGUGAACGCUGGCGGUAGGCCUAACACAUGCAAGUCGAACGGCAGCACAGUAAGAGCUUGCUCUUACGGGUGGCGAGUGGCGGACGGGUGAGGAAUACAUCGGAAUCUACUUUUUCGUGGGGGAUAACGUAGGGAAACUUACGCUAAUACCGCAUACGACCUACGGGUGAAAGCAGGGGAUCUUCGGACCUUGCGCGAUUGAAUGAGCCGAUGUCGGAUUAGCUAGUUGGCGAGGUAAAGGCCCACCAAGGCGACGAUCCGUAGCUGGUCUGAGAGGAUGAUCAGCCACACUGGAACUGAGACACGGUCCAGACUCCUACGGGAGGCAGCAGUGGGGAAUAUUGGACAAUGGGCGCAAGCCUGAUCCAGCCAUACCGCGUGGGUGAAGAAGGCCUUCGGGUUGUAAAGCCCUUUUGUUGGGAAAGAAAAGCAGCAGGUUAAUACCCCGCUAUUCUGACGGUACCCAAAGAAUAAGCACCGGCUAACUUCGUG